rnacentral:rRNA from 1 species
CAGGAUGAACGCUAGCGGCAGGCCUAAUACAUGCAAGUCGAACGCUCAGUAGCAAUACUGGGAGUGGCGCACGGGUGCGUAACGCGUACACAAUCUACCUCUAAGCGGGGGACACCUCCGUGGAAACGGGGAUUAAUACCGCAUAAUAUGCCGAAGUCGCAUGACUUUGGUAUUAAAGCAGCAAUGCACUUAGAGAUGAGUGUGCGUCCAUUAGGUAGUUGGUGAGGUAACGGCUCACCAAGCCUAUGAUGGGUAGCCGGUCUGAGAGGAUGGUCGGCCACACGGGCACUGAGACACGGGCCCGACUCCUACGGGAGGCAGCAGUAAGGAAUAUUGGUCAAUGGUGGAAACACUGAACCAGCCAUGCCGCGUGGAGGAAUAAGGUCCUACGGAUUGUAAACUCCUUUUGACGAGGAAGAAAAUGUUAGAUUUAUCUAAUUUUGACGGUACUCGUAGAAUAAGCACCGGCUAACUCCGUG